rnacentral:lncRNA from 1 species
AAAGACAGCUUUUGGGAAAGUAUGUUCUCAUUCAUAGCCGAUACAAAAGCUUUGGGACCCUCCUCUGGAAGAAAAACGAGUGACUGAAAAUGAGUGAAGGCUUUCCCCAGUGCUGUUCCCAACAGCAUCCAAUGUGUAGACCCCUACAUGCAAAGAGACCCCAAUGCCUUCUCAGUUCCACAUGCUGUCGAUGCCUCAGAUCGUCCUGGUUGCUGUCUAUACUCACCUUGUUGACUACCCAAAGAUAUGGACCUGCUGAAUUCUUGACCUCCAUAAAGUCAAUGGUCUUCACCCCAUCCGCAUUUUGGCCAUCUUUUCCCUGGCCACCUCUCAGACCUUUGCACCAUCCCAAAGCACACUGCCUUCUAAAUGUGAGAUGUGCCUUGUUUACUUUUUACUUCUGAUUUGAUUCCUAAUUUUUUGUUUUAUUGUGUGGAUACUAUGCAUAUAAAAGAAUAUAAAGAAAGUGUACAUGUAUAUAAAAAAUAUAAGCAUGUCACCCAGCAUAGUAAAAACACUUUUAUCCGAGAUUUGGAGGCCACAUGUGAUCAUUCCCAAUGCAAAACCUCAACCUCAGUACCAAAGAUAAGCAUCACUUUGAAUAUUUUACUAUUAUUCUCCUGCAUUCUUUCUAGUCUUAUUAUUUCCCUAAAUAAUUUAGUGUUGUGUGUUAGAAUUUUAUAUGAAUGGUUAUCAUACCGUAUGGAUGUCUUCUUCUGUGUCUCGUAUUUACAUUCAAUGCCGUGUUUGUUAUUUGGCCAUGAUAAUGUUAUCAACACAAGUAAUUCAUUUUUGCAGCUGAGUUUUUCAUUCUAUGGACACAUUGUAUAAGUAUAUAACGAUAUAUUUCUCUAUUGUCCUGUCAUUGGACCUUUGCAUGGUUUACAAUUUUUGGCUAUUAGAAAUAAUGCUGCCAUGAACAUUCUUGCUCAUGCACACUGGUAUGCACUGGGGAUAUGCCAGGAAGCAAAGUUGCUGGGCUAUAAUAGCCUAUGUGCAUCUUGAAAUUCGCAAGACAAUGCCAAACUGCUUCUCCACACUCUCAUAGAUAUUUUGUACUUUUCCCAGCAUUUAAGAAUCCUCAUUGCAGUCAGGCACAGCGGCUCAUGCCUGUAAUCCCAGCAUUUUGGGAGGCUGAGGUGGGUGGAUUACUUAAGGUCAGGAGUCCAUGACUAACCUGUCCAAUAUGGAGAAACCCCGUCUCCACUAAAAAUAUAAAAAUUAGCCGGGUGUCGUGGCAGGCGUCUGCAAUACCAGCUACUCAGGAGGCUGAGGCAGGAGAAUCGCUUGAACCCAGGAGGCAAAGGUUGCAGUGAGCCGAGGAGAUCGCGCCACUGCCCUCCAGCUUGGGUGACAGAGUGAGACUCUGUCUCGAAACAAACAAACAAACAAAAAGUAUCCUCAUUGCUCCACAUACUCCCCAAUACUUGGUUUUAUUACUUUUUAAUUUGUCUUGUAAAAUGGUGAUGUCUCAUUGUUAUUUUACUUUGUAUUUUCUUGAUUACUCGUUAAGAGUGGUCAUAUUUUCAUGCUUUUAUUGCCUAUUUGCUUUUUCUGUUCUAUGAAAUGCCAUUCAUGUCUUUUGCUUAUUUAUCUGUGGGUGGUCUUUUUCUCCUGUAUUGCUUUUGCAUGUUUAUUCAGUUCUCUUCUGCCAUUUAAGUAUUAGUGUUCUUAAAGCUCAGUCUUGGGCUCUCUUUUCUUCUUAAGCUUCUUUCUUCUCAUAUAAUCCCAUCUACUCUCAGUUACCAUCUAGUCAUACCAUAUGUAUGCAAAUUACUUCUGAUUUUAUAUUUCUAGACAAGAUCUAAUUUCUAGCUUCACAUCUUAAAUCCAACUAUUUCUCAGUAUGCUCACUUGGAUGUUUCAAAGGCGUCACAAUUUUAACUUCAAAACCAAAAUUAUUAUUUUCCUCCAAAUCUGUUAUUUUUAGUGUUCCCAAUCUCUAAGUGUUGUACAAGGCAGAAACCUAGAGGGCAUUUUGACUUUCCUCUCUCUCCCAUACAUAAUUUCUCAGAAAGGUCUAUCAAGUUUACCUCCAAACCACUUCUCAAGUCUAUGUUUCUUUCCAUGCCCUCUGUAAAACCCUAGUCUAAGCUAUGUCACCUUUCAGCUAUGGCCACAGUUUUCUACUAGCCUCCCUGAAUAUAUCCUGUGUGUGUCCAUUUAGUUCUCCACACUAGAGCAAGUGAAAUAUCCAUUUUAAGUGCACAGUUGAUGAUAUGGGAAACAUCAACAGCUUCCCAUCUCUUAGAAUAAAGUCUGGCAUUGCUAACAUGUGACUGAGAACAUAGUCCAUUUCCUGGCCUCUGCCUACGUCACCUCUUGUGAUUUCUCUUGCUCCUUGUGCUCAGCUGCACCAGACUGGUUUCCAUUCCUUGAAAAUCUGCGUUUUUUUUCUGCCCUCAUUGUUGGACAGGCUACUCUCCAUUCUUAGAAUGAUACCUACAUGGUUCCAUUGUGCUUUACUUAGUUAUCACCUAAGAAUCUUAGCCCAAGCACAACUUCCUCUGAAUGUCAUUCCCUGAUAAGCCUGUCUGUUUUAUAAGCUCACCAGGAAUUACAGUCAUUUUGUAUGGACAUCUUAUGCAUCUGGAAAUAUGAAUAUCUACCCUCCCCAGGAGUUCCGUGGGGGUGGGGAAGGUGUUUGGUUUUGGUCCCCAUUAAACCUAAACCUAAUGCAGUGCCUGGCUCAUUAUAAGAACUUAAUAAAUAUUUAUUAAAUUAAUAAAUUAUACUCUCAUAUCAUCUGGUUUUUAAAAGAUAUAUCAGGUUUUAUUUUUUGUUGUUACUUGGUAUCACUGAUCUGUAAUAAAGCCCA